rnacentral:rRNA from 1 species
UACGAAGGGGGCUAGCGCUGCUCGGAAUCACUGGGCGUAAAGCGCACGUAGGCGGCUUGUUAAGUCAGGGGUGAAAUCCUGGAGCUCAACUCCAGAACUGCCUUUGAUACUGGCGAGCUUGAGUCCGGGAGAGGUGAGUGGAACUGCGAGUGUAGAGGUGAAAUUCGUAGAUAUUCGCAAGAACACCAGUGGCGAAGGCGGCUCACUGGCCCGGUACUGACGCUGAGGUGCGAAAGCGUGGGGAGCAAACAGG